CCGAAUCUGCCAGCUUGUACCGGUACAAGGUAAGGGCUGUACCGGUACAGCAAGCAGAAAAUGCUGAUUUUCGUCAGUUCAACGCACUUUCUUGCUUUAAGCAUUCCAAUCACCCUCUAACUUGUUCAAAAACUUGUCCAAGUCAUUUAGAACAUGUAGAAUAGUUCCACACUUCAUUCCACACACUCGAACUCUGCAA
rnacentral:lncRNA from 1 species